UACGUAGGGUGCAAGCGUUAAUCGGAAUUACUGGGCGUAAAGCGUGCGCAGGCGGUUUUGUAAGUCUGUCGUGAAAUCCCCGGGCUCAACCUGGGAAUUGCGAUGGAGACUGCAAGGCUAGAAUCUGGCAGAGGGGGGUAGAAUUCCACGUGUAGCAGUGAAAUGCGUAGAUAUCGGGAGGAACACCAGUGGCGAAGGCGACUACCUGGCCUGUUCUUGACGCUGAGGCGGCGAAAGCUAGGGGAGCAAACGGG
rnacentral:rRNA from 1 species